GACGAACGCUGGCGGCGUGCUUAACAAAUGCAAGUCGAACGAGGAAUGAUGCUUCGGUAUUAUUCCGAGUGGCGGACUGGUGAGUAACACGUGAGUAACCAACCUUAUACAGGGGGAUAACUAAGAGAAAUCUUAGCUAAUACCGCAUAGAACAGGAAAGCCGCAUGGCAGAAGAGUUAAAGGAGAAAUCCGGUAUAAGACGGACUCGCGCAUCAUUAGCUAGUUGGUGAGGUAACGGCUCACCAAGGCAACGAUGAUUAGCCGGCCUGAGAGGGAGUACGGCCACAUUGGGACUGAGAUACGGCCCAGACUCCUACGGGAGGCAGCAUUGGGGAAUAUUGGGCAAUGGAGGAAACUCUGACCCAGCGACGCCGCGUGAGCGAAGAAGACCUUCGGGUCGUAAAGCUCUGUCAUUAGGGACGAGAAGGAGACGGUACCUAAUGAGGAAGCCCCGGCAAACUACGUGCCAGCAGCCGCAGUAA
rnacentral:rRNA from 1 species